AAUGGGCGCAAGCCUGAUCCAGCAAUGCCGCGUGUGUGAAGAAGGCCUGCGGGUUGUAAAGCACUUUCAGUGGGGAAGAACGGGUUCGGGCCAAUACCCCGGAUCACUGACGUUACCCACAGAAGAAGCACCGGCUAACUCCGUGCCAGCAGCCGCGGUAAUACGGAGGGUGCAAGCGUUAAUCGGAAUUACUGGGCGUAAAGCGUGCGCAGGCGGUUACAUAAGACAGAUGUGAAAUCCCCGGGCUUAACCUGGGAACUGCGUUUGUGACUGUGUGACUAGAGUACGGUAGAGGGGGGUGGAAUUCCUGGUGUAGCAGUGAAAUGCGUAGAUAUCAGGAGGAACAUCGAUGGCGAAGGCAGCCCCCUGGGUCGACACUGACGCUCAUGCACGAAAGCGUGGGGAGCAAA
rnacentral:rRNA from 1 species